rnacentral:rRNA from 1 species
AUUGAACGCUGGCGGAAUGCUUUACACAUGCAAGUCGAACGGCAGCACGGACUUCGGUCUGGUGGCGAGUGGCGAACGGGUGAGUAACAUAUCGGAACGUAUCCAAUAAUGGGGGAUAACGAGUCGAGAGAUUCGCUAAUACCGCAUACGCCCUACGGGGGAAAGCUGGGGACCUUCGGGCCUGGCGUUAAUGGAGCGGCCGAUAUCUGAUUAGCUAGUUGGUGAGGUAAAGGCUCACCAAGGCGACGAUCAGUAGCUGGUCUGAGAGGACGACCAGCCACACUGGAACUGAGACACGGUCCAGACUCCUACGGGAGGCAGCAGUGGGGAAGUUUGGACAAUGGGCGCAAGCCUGAUCCAGCCAUUCCGCGUGAGUGAAGAAGGCCUUCGGGUUGUAAAGCUCUUUCGCAAGGGAAGAAAACUUAGCCACUAACAUUGGUUGAGGUUGACGGUACCUUGAUAAGAAGCACCGGCUAACUACGUGCCAGCCGCCGCCGUAA